GCGAGAUGCUGGAUGGCUAUCGGCACCUCAGGUGCUGAGGAAACUCCGCCCACGCCGUGGCACCAGAGCACCGUAACGGUGCAUGGCGAGAGCCAUGCUCCUGGCACAGAAACGAGACACGGAAGGGCAUAUGAGGGGGAGACCAAGCGGUUGACGAGCCCUUGCCGUGGUGAAAUGGCCAGCCUCUGGCGUGCAAG
rnacentral:RNase_P_RNA from 1 species